ensembl:misc_RNA
UCUAUUUAUCCACAGAUUAGGCACAGCACAGGCAGAGAAAGUGCAAACUUUCCCCGCAUCAGCCCAUCACUAAAGUGCCUCAUGACUGGCUUACAGUGACCUGAUUUUGAGCUGGAGGG